UUUGAUCAUGGCUCAGAUUGAACGCUGGCGGCAGGCUUAACACAUGCAAGUCGAGCGGAGUGAUGGUGCUUGCACUAUCACUUAGCGGCGGACGGGUGAGUAAUGCUUAGGAAUCUGCCUAUUAGUGGGGGACAACAUUUCGAAAGGAAUGCUAAUACCGCAUACGUCCUACGGGAGAAAGCAGGGGAUCUUCGGACCUUGCGCUAAUAGAUGAGCCUAAGUCGGAUUAGCUAGUUGGUGGGGUAAAGGCCUACCAAGGCGACGAUCUGUAGCGGGUCUGAGAGGAUGAUCCGCCACACUGGGACUGAGACACGGCCCAGACUCCUACGGGAGGCAGCAGUGGGGAAUAUUGGACAAUGGGCGCAAGCCUGAUCCAGCCAUGCCGCGUGUGUGAAGAAGGCCUUAUGGUUGUAAAGCACUUUAAGCGAGGAGGAGGCUACUGAAGUUAAUACCUUCAGAUAGUGGACGUUACUCGCAGAAUAAGCACCGGCUAACUCUGUGCCAGCAGCCGCGGUAAUACAGAGGGUGCAAGCGUUAAUCGGAUUUACUGGGCGUAAAGCGCGCGUAGGCGGCUAAUUAAGUCAAAUGUGAAAUCCCCGAGCUUAACUUGGGAAUUGCAUUCGAUACUGGUUAGCUAGAGUGUGGGAGAGGAUGGUAGAAUUCCAGGUGUAGCGGUGAAAUGCGUAGAGAUCUGGAGGAAUACCGAUGGCGAAGGCAGCCAUCUGGCCUAACACUGACGCUGAGGUGCGAAAGCAUGGGGAGCAAACAGGAUUAGAUA
rnacentral:rRNA from 1 species